CGGGGCCUGAGAAUCCUUGCCAGCGGAUGGAGGCUUUGUUUGCCUCGCUGAGUCCCCAGACCAGGGGCCGGCCGGAGAGAGGGCUCUUUCCUGAGAGGCUGGACUUUCCCACAGGAACAAAGUGGGGCUUGUUAGCCGGGCAUGAAUCUUGGCGUGAAGCGGCCCAGGCCAGGCUCGGCGCUGCCAGGCGGCGGCUCCGCGAUAUCAGGCAAAUUCCGCCUUCCCCACAGCUGGGGCUGACAGCAGGAAGCCCCAGGGAGGCUCCGGACAAAAGCAGAAAAAUGGGCCACGUUUAUUCAUUCACUGACCAGCCCGGGCCUGGCUGGCCCGGGGGCCCUGUCUCCAUGGCUACGGGCGGCCUUCAGCUCUCCUGGUUGGCUCCUCUGUGACCACAGCCCCUCCACUGCCACACACCCCAACACAUAGAGACACAGCAUCAUGAAGGCAGAGGCUGCCUCGGGACGGCUCUGCCCCAGGGAGCGUGGGGCCAUCUGAGCCAAACAGAAUAGAGGGCUUGGACACAGCCCCGGAUGUGAGUUGAGCUCUGAAUGUCAAGACCAGUCCUGGUCCCAUUUUCCACUGCUUUGGUCAGGGAGUGAGUCCCCUGAUGUCAUCCGAGGAUAUGAGGCAUCGCUAAAUCUGGCCAUCCCCUGAAGCACCCAGCCUCACCGACUUCCUGAAGCGUGGAUGAACGCUGCUGCCACAAAUGUGCUGUGACAACCGCUGACAAGGAGAAUGGUUCCAAGAAGUGACAAGUUGAAGGUCAUGAUCCUUUUGCUGACACAGAGCCUGGCACAUGGAGGCACCAAAUGCAUGUUAGUCUAGGCACUGUGGAGGAGCUCAGAUUGUGUUUGUUGAUUGACUGAGUGAGCAAAUGAAGAACGACUAAACCAAGCACAAAGCUGGGCGUCCUAAGGUGGAGCUGGGCUAAGGAAAGUGACUGUCUCUAGGGCCUUCACAAUUGAGGCAGGACCUUAUCCACCAUUUGACCAGGGUGAGGAACUGUGCAGGGCACCCAGGUGUGACCCAACCAUGUCCAUUGUUCCUCUCUGUCCCUUUGAUGGACAGCCUGUACCCACGACACUCUUUCCAGAUGCUGCCUGCAUCCUAGUUCCCUGUCCUAUCACCUCUGCAUGGAAAGAUGUGGAGUUGGCCACAUUGAUCCCAACACCAAUGGGAUCACCUGAGGAUGGAUCUGGUGACUGACCUUGUGCCUUCUCACAGUACAGGCUUUGGGAUCCACAGCAACCCAGGCAGAGUUUGUAACAGUGCAGGUUCCCAGGCCCCAUCCCAGACUGCCUGAGUCACUCUGGGCCUGAACCCAGGAAGAGUUAACCAUCUGGAGACUGUAGAUUGUAACAAUUUCCUUGGGUGACUUCCAGGCAGGCUAAAGUGUAAGAAAGGGUGCCAUGAAUCAGCAAAACAGCCAGCACUUCAACUUGCAACCUGAGCAUCCCACAGGGGUCCCAGCCAUCGUAGUGCCAGCUACAUUUGCUGAAGUGUGAGGCCUGGACUGCAGGCAGGCUCCAGGCCAACCCUUCCUUGCAUGACUUGCUCAGGGAUCUGUAUGACAUGCUGGUGCCAUUCUCUCCAUUUUACAGAUGAGGGACCAGAGGCCCAGAGCACUGAAGUACCUAGCUAAAAAGCUGGAACACCAUAUUACCCUGCCUCCCUGACAGCUUUCCUCCAUCCAAGUGGCCCAACUGUGGUUCAGAAAAUACAGCCUCAUUAAAGACAGGUGCUUGAAACCAUGGCCUGGAAGUGGUAAUCUGGUUGAGCUCACUUUGCUGGAUGGUGAAAGAGCCCAGCCUGCCCUGCCCUGCCCUUCCUUCUUUUUCCCUCUCCUCUCUUCUCCUCUCCUCUCCUCUCCUCUCCUCUCCUCUCCUCUCCCCUCCCCUCUCCCCUCCCCUCCUUUCUUUUCUUCUUUUUCCCUUCCUCUCGUCUCCCCCUCCCCUCCCCUCCCCUCCUGUCCCAUUCCCUUCCCUUCCUUUCCCUCCCCUCCCCUCUUCUCCCCUCCUUUCUUUCCUUCCUUCCUUCCUCCCUCCCUCUCUCUCUCUUUCCUAUUUUCUUUCUCUCGUUCUUUCCCGAGUCAUUGAUUCAACAGAACAGCCCACUGUGGUUAUUGGAAUGCACUGGGAGAGACACAAUGUGCUUCCAGCUCCAAAGGAAAGAUGAGAAGAAUCAGAGAACACAGAGGCCAGAAAGGCCUGGCGAGGAGCUCAAACAGGGACCUAUCAGGGCUGGUGUCCGGUGUGAGGGGGUUUGAGCCUCUGAGAGGUCCAGACAAAGCCAUCUUGCGCCUAGGCGCUUGUCUGUAAACGCGGGAUCUUUGCUUAGUGGCUAAGAAUGUGCCUGCUGGGCUGAGUCUAAGACCUGGAGAUGCACCCAGAAAUCAGUGUCUGGUUGCCCUGAAACAUGUGUUGAGAAGGAGAGCCUCAGGGUGGCACUGAUGUUUGGCGGAUAGGUUCAGAGAUCUGCAUGGGACUCCCAGUUAAGCCCCUUUGCUGUGUGAGCAUUCAUCAACCCCCAGCCCUCUCUGAGCCUCAGUGUUACCUGUGUGAUGUUGGAUUGGAACUGGUUGCUUACUAAG
rnacentral:lncRNA from 1 species